rnacentral:rRNA from 1 species
UACGUAGGGUGCGAGCGUUGUCCGGAAUUAUUGGGCGUAAAGAGCUCGUAGGCGGUCUGUCACGUCGGCUGUGAAAACCCGAGGCUCAACCUCGGGCCUGCAGUGGGUACGGGCAGACUAGAGUUCGGUAGGGGAGACUGGAAUUCCUGGUGUAGCGGUGAAAUGCGCAGAUAUCAGGAGGAACACCGGUGGCGAAGGCGGGUCUCUGGGCCGAUACUGACGCUGAGGAGCGAAAGCGUGGGGAGCGAACAGG